AUACGGAGGAUCCGAGCGUUAUCCGGAUUUAUUGGGUUUAAAGGGUGCGCAGGCGGCCAUUUAAGUCAGCGGUUAAAUCGUGGGGCUCAACCCCAUUCUGCCGUUGAUACUGGGUGGCUUGAUUGCGGUCGAGGUUGGCGGAAUUCGUUGUGUAGCGGUGAAAUGCAUAGAUAUGACGAAGAACACCGAUUGCGUAGGCAGCUGACCAGACCGCAAAUGACGCUCAUGCACGAAAGUGCGGGGAUCGAACAGGAUUAGAUACCCUGGUAGUCCGCACAAUAAACGAUGAAUACUUGUUUUCGGCGAUAUAAUGUCGGAGGCAAAGCGAAAGCGAUAAGUAUUCCACCUGGGGAGUACGCCGGCAACGGUGAAACUUAAAGGAAUUGACGGGG
rnacentral:rRNA from 1 species